UACGAAGGUGGCAAGCGUUGUUCGGAUUCACUGGGCGUAAAGAGCUCGUAGGCGGUCUGUCGCGUCUGCUGUGAAAACUCAGGGCUUAACCCUGAGCUUGCAGUGGGUACGGGCAGACUAGAGUGCGGUAGGGGAGACUGGAAUUCCUGGUGUAGCGGUGAAAUGCGCAGAUAUCAGGAGGAACACCGGUGGCGAAGGCGGGUCUCUGGGCCGUAACUGACGCUGAGGAGCGAAAGCAUGGGGAGCGAACAGG
rnacentral:rRNA from 1 species